AAAAUUUCGUAAACCACCUCUUGUAAAUACCAAUAUACAAACAGAAGUAAACAAUAAACAUAAAGAAUCAACGACGGAUGAAUGCAGUUCAACAUUCGAUGAAUGCAGUUGAAGCUAUGUCGAGUUAAAUAGGAGUUCUUAAAUUAGCCAUUAAAAAGUUAUUAAUUUUAAAAAAACAAUUGUCCUACAAAAAUCGCGCCGAACGAAAAUAACUGUAACAUCCGUUGAAUCUUUGGUUAAAAGUUUGAGCAAAAAAAAACAUGAUUUUACUAAACUGUCAUGAAAUGCUUUUUAAGAAUCUUGCGGAACUUGGUUCAUUAUUGAAAGUUACAAAUAUGGUACUUUCAUUUCCACAUUCCAUUAUAGUAAAAUAAAACUUUUUUCGUUUUUCUCGAUGUGUGGUCACAUCGAGAAAAAAGCUAAAGAUGAUGAGAAAUACAUUAGCAGAAAAAGCUAUUAAUAAAGACAAUCGACAACGAAUAGCUGAUAACUCAACAGCUAUCAUAUGGGAGCAAAAACAAAAACAAUAAGUUUAUCGCCUGGAUUUCAUUCAACGAAAUUAUAAACAAUCACAUAUAUGAUAAAAAAAUAGGGGAAGAUAGAGCCAUAUGUUAACGCUACGUUUGUGCUCAUGCAUCUGAUAAAGCAUAUAAGGGAUUCGAGGAUCCGAGGUUCAUAACUAAAAAUGCACAAGAAAUUUCUGAAAAAUUGGAAAGACAAAUAUUGAGAUUCUGACUACCAUAUAAAUGGAAACUGGAUUGUCGUAUUUAGAAAUACUAACGAUGAAACACCAUUGCCCGACCGGAAAUAAACUUAGCUGAGUCGCAAAAACCAAUAUAUUUAAGCAAAAGAGAAGAUUUUGGCUUCUUAAUUACAAUUAAAUGUGAUCCGAUUAUCACACACAAAGAAUUAUUACAAAAAUUAAAAUGCACAUUAAAAAAUGUAAACUCGAAGCGGAAGAAUCGACCAAAGUUCUGAAACGAGCUAAAAGGAACCAACGCAGUCUCUAAUAUCAGGAAAGCAUAAAUCAUAGAUGAGUAUUUGACUUUAAUCCCGGAAAUUUUUUUCUUUGAUAAUCCCGGAAAAAAUCCCGGAAAAUUAAUGUUAUUAGACAUCAGACAGAUGUUAUUAGACAUCAAUGUUUUAUAAAAAAUUGAUCGCAUUUAACUGACAAACGGAAUUUAGAUUAUUU